rnacentral:rRNA from 1 species
AACGAACGCUGGCGGCAGGCUUAACACAUGCAAGUCGAACGGGCCCUUCGGGGUCAGUGGCAGACGGGUGAGUAACGCGUGGGAACGUGCCCCUCAGUUCGGGAUAACCCAGGGAAACUUGGGCUAAUACCGGAUACGUGCGAGAGCAGAAAGAUUUAUCGCUGAAGGAUCGGCCCGCGUCUGAUUAGCUGGUUGGUGGGGUAAUGGCCCACCAAGGCGACGAUCGGUAGCUGGUCUGAGAGGAUGAUCAGCCACAUUGGGACUGAGACACGGCCCAAACUCCUACGGGAGGCAGCAGUGGGGAAUAUUGGACAAUGGGCGCAAGCCUGAUCCAGCCAUGCCGCGUGAGUGAUGACGGCCUUAGGGUUGUAAAGCUCUUUCGCACGCGACGAUAAUGACGGUAGCGUGAGAAGAAGCCCCGGCUAACUUCGUGCCAGCCGCCGCGGUAA